rnacentral:rRNA from 1 species
UACGUAGGGUGCAAGCGUUGUUCGGAAUCACUGGGCGUAAAGGGCGUGUAGGCGGUUGUGUAAGUGGGAUGUGAAAUGCCUCGGCUUACCCGGGGACCUGCAUCCCAUACUGCAUGACUUGAGUACGGGAGAGGAUGAGGGAAUUCCUGGUGUAGCGGUGAAAUGCGUAGAUAUCAGGAGGAACACCGGUGGCGAAGGCGCUCAUCUGGCCCGAUACUGACGCUGAGGCGCGAAAGCUAGGGUAGCGAACGGG